rnacentral:rRNA from 1 species
UCAACGGAGAGUUUGAUCCUGGCUCAGGAUGAACGCUGGCGGCGUGCCUAACACAUGCAAGUCGAACGGAACAACUACGGUUGUUGAGUGGCGAACGGGUGAGG